GUACACUCCUGCGGGAGGCAGCAGUGGGGAAUUUUGGACAAUGGGCGAAAGCCUGAUCCAGCAAUGCCGCGUGAGUGAAGAAGGCCUUCGGGUUGUAAAGCUCUUUUGUCAGGGAAGAAACGGUGAAAGCUAAUAUCUUUUGCUAAUGACGGUACCUGAAGAAUAAGCACCGGCUAACUACGUGCCAGCAGCCGCGGUAAUACGUAGGGUGCAAGCGUUAAUCGGAAUUACUGGGCGUAAAGCGUGCGCAGGCGGUUUUGUAAGUCUGAUGUGAAAUCCCCGGGCUCAACCUGGGAAUUGCAUUGGAGACUGCAAGGCUAGAAUCUGGCAGAGGGGGGUAGAAUUCCACGUGUAGCAGUGAAAUGCGUAGAUAUGUGGAGGAACACCGAUGGCGAAGGCAGCCCCCUGGGUCAAGAUUGACGCUCAUGCACGAAAGCGUGGGGAGCAAACAGGAUUAGAAACCCCAGUAGUCCCAUGAU
rnacentral:rRNA from 1 species